UACAGAGGGGGCAAGCGUUGUUCGGAAUUACUGGGCGUAAAGGGCGCGUAGGCGGCCUUCUAAGUCGAACGUGAAAUCCCCGGGCUCAACCCGGGAACUGCGUCCGAUACUGGAAGGCUUGAAUCCGGGAGAGGGAUGUGGAAUUCCAGGUGUAGCGGUGAAAUGCGUAGAUAUCUGGAGGAACACCGGUGGCGAAGGCGACAUCCUGGACCGGCAUUGACGCUGAGGCGCGAAAGCCAGGGGAGCAAACGGG
rnacentral:rRNA from 1 species